rnacentral:rRNA from 1 species
AUAAUUGAGGAUUUGAUCCUGGUCCAGGAUGAACGCUGGCGGCGUGGAUAAGGCAUGCAAGUCGAACGAACAGAUAUCGGAGUUCGGAGAUCAGAAAUCAGAACUUCUAACAAAAUUAUGUAUACAAACUUAGAAGUUUAUAAUCGCUCUCAAAAACUUUAUCCAAGAAUAAUUGCACUUACUAAGAGUUUUCCUAAUAAUGCAAGGCACCUAAAAGAUCAACUUUGCAGAUCUGCAAAUUCUAUUCACAGCAAUAUUGCAGAGGGUUACGGAAGAUCUAUUGCAGAGUUUAAAAUGUAUUUAACAAGAUCAUUGGGUUCUUGUAAUGAAACAAGAAGUCAUCUAAAUGAUGCAGUAAAUUCAAAUUUUUGUGAUAUAAGUUUAGCGAAAGAAUUGUUAGACGAAUAUGAGAUUGUGAGUAAGCAACUUUUUCGUUUGCGAGAGCGGUGGAAGUAGAAAUCUAUCCGAUUUCCGACUUCCGAUCUCCGAUGUCUGUGAGUGGCGAACGAGUUAGUAACACCUUGGAAUCUACCUCGAAGACGGGGAUAACUCCGCGAAAGCGGAGCUAAUACCCGAUAGUCCCAGCGUUGAUUUUGAAAAACAAAAAGGGGUGGACAGAACCCAUCCCCAUAAAGAUUAUUAAUACCGCUAUUGUGGCUUAGGCCCAAGGACGGCAAGAACAAUAAAGCCUCCUACAAUCAGCAUGCUCCCCAAUAUAAUCUUGAUGAUCACUGACUUGGUACGUUUUGGCGGUAAGACCCAACCCCCUAACAUAAUAUCGAAUACCCCCAGCCAUCUGUGUAUUCCGCUAGAAAGCAUCCAAAUUCCAGACCCAGAUAACGCCAUGAAGAGCAAGAAGGGCCAGUGCACUGUAAUACCUCCUGCCUCAGCAUGUAUUAUUAAGGAUACUAUCAAAUUGUUUAGUUGUCAAGUGUUUUUCAAAAUCAGCGCUGGGUAAGGCCGCAAGGCGCUUCGAGAGGAGCCUAGGUCCUAUCAGCUAGUUGGUGGGGUAGUGGCCCACCAAGGCUAUGACGGGUAGGGGAUGUGAGAGCAUGACCCCCAACGGCGACAAUGAGAUACGAGUCGCACACCUACGGGUGGCAGCAGUCAAGAAAAUUCCACAAUGGGCGAAAGCCUGAUGGAGCGACGCCGCGUGCAGGAAGAAGGUCUUCGGAUUGUAAACUGCUUUUUAUCGGGAACAAGUCCGGCCCUUUUGGGUUACGACAAAAUAAAAAAAGCUGCCAAUCGGCAGCACUACCAAUAACUAAUUAUAUUUCUCUAAACAAACUCCCUUUUUGAGCUGAUUCUGUGCGAGCAAUUGUGCUAACCGGGGUAAGGAGCGUGAGAUCAGACAAAUUGGCAUCCCGUGCAAUUUGUUGCGCAAAUCUGAUUGCUUCCUGCUUAUCGUCUUUUUCAAAGAAAGCAACAACCUUGGGACGGACGGUUAGAGGAAAUUGCAUUAGCAAAUACUGAGAUGGCAUGCGCUUUACUCCCUAGAGGAUGGCGAGCUAAGUAUAAGUAUAUUGGGAGAUUGUAUUUUUGUCAAGUCGUAGUUCAAAAGGGCCGGAUUGAGCGUACCGAUAGAAUAAGGCGCUGCAAACUCUGUGCCAGCAGCCGCGGUAAUACAGAGGCGUCAAGCGUUAUCCGGAUUUAUUGGGCGUAAAGGGUCUCCAGGCGGUUUUGUUAGUCUGGCGUUAAAUCCCACUGCUUAACGGUGGGGCUGCGUUAGAUACGGCAAAACUAGAGGGAUGGAGAGGGAGUAGGAACUCACGGUGUAGGGGUGAAAUCCGUUGAUAUCGUGGGGAACACCAAAGGCGAAGGCAAACUCCUGGCCAUCUCCUGACGCUCAUGAGACGAAAGCGUGGGGAGCAAAAAGGAUUAGAUACCCUUGUAGUCCACGCCCUAAACGAUGCGCGCUCGCUGUUCCGAGUAUCGACCCUCGGAGUGGCUUAGCUUACGCGUUAAGCGCGCCGCCUGGGAAGUACGGCCGCAAGGCUAAAACUCAAAGGAAUAGACGGGGAUUCGCACAAGCGGUGGACCAUGUGGUUCAAUUCGACGACAACCGAGGAACCUCACCAGGGCUUGAAAUGUUUAUGAUGUUCCAGCGAAAGUUGGAAUUUCUCACAAGGACAUAAGCACAGGUGCUGCACGGCCCUCGUCAGUUCGUGGUGUAAAUUGUUCCCUUAAGUGGGGUAACGAACGCAACCCCUAUUGCCUGUUAUAUGUGUCAGGCAAGACCGCCCCGCUCUUUUGGCAGUAUAAGAUUUGUUGAUAUGAUUGAGAUAUGUACUACGUUUACCUUAUUAAAAGCAGGAAACGAGAUUUUUUGUAUGUUGGUAGCACUGAUGAUCUCCGGAGGAGAUUUUCUGAGCACAACAACAGGAAAGAACCGUCAACAAAAUUUUAUGCGCCGUUUCAACUGAUAUAUUUAUGAAGCUUAUAGUAGUAAGAAGGACGCACUAAUUCGUGAAAAUAAAUUAAAGCAUCACGGUGCAGUGAUUGGUCAUUUGAAACGGCGAGUCAAGCACAGCUUGACUGAAUAGCUACGGUCCCGCUCUUUUAGCUUUGCUAUAAGAGCGGGGCUGGACAUAGUGCCAAAAGAGCGGGGAGGAAGGUGGGGACGACGCGAGGUCAGCGUGGCCCUCUGAUGCCCUGGGCUACACACGUGGUACAAUGGCGCGUACAAUGGGUUGCCAAGCCGCAAGGUGGAGCUAAUCCCAUCAAAGCGCGCCCCAGUUCAGAUUGAAGUCUGCAACUCGACUUCAUGAAGUAGGAAUCGCUAGUAAACGCAAAUCAGCUAUGUUGCGUUGAAUACGUUCUCGAAUCUUGUACUCGGGACGCCAUGCGAUCUUCUUUUUC